CUUUACCUAGGCUGACCCUUGGAAUAAUGUACUUUGUUCUUUUUCUAGGUAAAACAUUUUUCUUGCAAACUAUUUAGGAAUCCGGAAACACAUAAAACAUGCCUUCUGAGAAAACACAUCUUAUAAUCUGAAUUGCUAAACAAUUAAAUACACAAUUUAUUACAGGCAACAUCCCCAUCUUAUAGACUUAGCAGCGUUAAUUUUAUGAGAGAGAGAGAGAG